GGUUCAGGAUGAACGCUAGCGACAGGCUAACACAUGCAAGUCGAGGGCGAGCACGGGAGUAGCAAUACAACUGGUGGCGACCGGCGCGACGGGUGAGUAACGCGUAUGCAACCUACCUAUCAGAGGGGAAGUAACCCGGCGAAAGUCGGACUAAUACCGCAUAAAACAGGGGCACCGCAUGGUGAUAUUUGUUAAAGAGAUUCGCUGAUAGAUGGGCAUGCGUUCCAUUAGGUAGUUGGUGAGGUAACGGCUCACCAAGCCGACGAUGGAUAGGGGAACUGAGAGGUUGGUCCCCCACACUGGUACUGAGACACGGACCAGACUCCUACGGGAGGCAGCAGUGAGGAAUAUUGGUCAAUGGGCGGGAGCCUGAACCAGCCAAGUCGCGUGAAAGGAAGAAGGAUCUAUGGUUCGUAAACUUCUUUUGCAGGGGAAUAAAGUGCAGGACGUGUCCUGUUUUGUAUGUACCCUGAGAAUAAGGAUCGGCUAACUCCGUGCCAGCCGCUGC
rnacentral:rRNA from 1 species